AUCAUGAAGGUUGCGUUACUCUUGCGUUUCCUUCUGCGCACACACACUCUAAAGUGGACGCCAGUUUUGCCCCAAGCACAAAACAGAAGUACAAAAACUUCCUGUUUGCUGCUCCUGAGAACGUGUUCCAGUGAUGGAACCUCAGAGGAAUUUGUGCAUUCCUCUCCCACAAGUGUCCAGGGGCAGGGGUGCCGGGAGAAUGAGUUCGCAGAGGAAGCAAGAAUGGCAGCGAGAGCCAGGGCUCAAGAAAGGAAAAAACUGUGUGAGCCAACACACUAUUUUUCCUCCAUAUAGAGAAGUUUGGGUAAAAGAGCUACUCAAAACUAUGAGUCGCAUGUGUGACUUUCCAGAGACACACACUGGGCCACCUUACGCAACGUGCUGUAGGGUGGUGUAUGCUAGACACACACUUCUUUCACAAUCUGUUCCCAAAGCCAAGUCUCCUCGCCUCCUUCCAGGAGUUCCAUGACCAGAAGAGGACCCCAUUACUGAAGUUCACCUGGAUGGGAAGAAAGCAGGAUAUCCCAGUGAGGACAAAGUCCUGUCUCCAGAGGGAUUGUGAUCUGUCUGUGGAUCAACACACCACCACUCUGAUUUGACUGACCAGAUUGCCAUACACAUCCCUGGCUGGCCUGGAACUCAAAGAGCUGUACCUGCUUCUACCUCCUGGGGACUGAGUGACAAGAACUGCAUCUUGCCGGGCGUGUGACUCUUGCACUGAUGGGGCGGAGAAGGAUUGAUGGAGUUCAUGGCUAGUCUGGACAACAUAGCAUGACCCUGGAUCAAGAGAAGAAGGGAAGACAGGAGGAGGAGAAGGAGGAGGGAAAAGGAAGAAGAAGACUACCGAUUCACCAUCCCAGGGGACUCGCUACUACCAGCGAUGCUCCACAGGAGUGUGCGCGCACACAGAAGCGGUUUUGAACAAACGUCUGAAGGUGCUGUUUUGUGUCUCUUGUUCACUGUGACAUAGCCUCGUGGCAUGCUAGCACAAAAGCAGCAAACACAGCUCAGCGGAUACGGACCACGUAUUUUCAUCUCCCAAGAGGAAAAUAUCUAAGAGUGUCCCAUAAGGUCAGUGCUCUGUGAUGGGUGAGGGUGAGCUUCCCCCCCACACACACACACCUCGGCCUCUUUCCUUGUUCGUUCGUGAAAAAUGCUACCUUUACGGAAGGGAGGGCAACGCACGAAUAAACGCAGAUGUGAACUUAGUAAAAACAAGCUGUUUCCACGUUCUCGAAGUUCUAUUCGUAAAUUACAAUGUGAAGA